UACGGGGGGGGGCGAGCGUUGUUCGGAAUUACUGGGCGUAAAGGGUGCGUAGGCGGCUUUCUAAGUCGGAUGUGAAAACUCUGGGCUCAACCCAGAGCCUGCAUCUGAAAACUGGAGAGCUAGGGUUUUGGGAGGGGAAAGCGGAAUUCCAGGUGUAGCGGUGAAAUGCGUAGAUAUCUGGAGGAACACCGGUGGCGAAGGCGGGUCGUCUGGGCCGGAUGACCAUGACGC
rnacentral:rRNA from 1 species